rnacentral:rRNA from 1 species
CCCUUAGAUGUCCGGGGCCGCACGCGCGCUACACUGAAGGAAUCAGCGUGGCUUUCUCCCUGACCCGAAAGGGUUGGGAAACCCGUUGAAUCUCCAUCGUGAUAGGGAUUGGGGCUUGAAAUUGUUCCCCAUGAACGAGGAAUUCCCAGUAAGCGCGAGUCAUAAGCUCGCGUUGAUUACGUCCCUGCCCUUUGUACACACCGCCCGUCGCUACUACCGAUUGAACGGUUUAGUGAGGGCCUCGGAUUGGUCUCGGCCCGCUCUUUACCGGGCGGCGCCGUUGGUCGAGAAGACGCUCGAACUUGAUCGUUUAGAGGAAGUAAAAGUCGUAACA